rnacentral:pre_miRNA from 1 species
AUUUUAGUAUAAGUGUGUCCCAUGCUAUUUUUGGAACAUACUUAUACUAAAU